AGGACGAACGCUGGCGGCGUGCUUAACACAUGCAAGUCGAGCGGUGAUCCUCCUUCGGGAGGUGAGCAGCGGCGAACGGGUGAGUAACACGUGGGCAACCUGCCCCUCACACUGGGAUAACCUCGGGAAACCGGGGCUAAUACCGGAUAUGACCUCGAGCGGCAUCUCUUGAGGUGGAAAGCUCCGACGGUGAGGGAUGGGCCCGCGGCCUAUCAGCUUGUUGGUGGGGUAAUGGCCUACCAAGGCGACGACGGGUAGCCGGCCUGAGAGGGCGACCGGCCACACUGGGACUGAGACACGGCCCAGACUCCUACGGGAGGCAGCAGUGGGGAAUAUUGCGCAAUGGGCGAAAGCCUGACGCAGCGACGCCGCGUGAGGGAUGAAGGCCUUCGGGUUGUAAACCUCUUUCAGCAGGGACGAAGCGAAAGUGACGGUACCUGCAGAAGAAGCACCGGCUAACUACGCGCCAGCAGCCGCGGUAA
rnacentral:rRNA from 1 species